rnacentral:rRNA from 1 species
GACGAACGCUGGCGGCGUGCUUAACACAUGCAAGUCGAACGGAAAGGCCUCUUUCGGGGGGUACUCGAGUGGCGAACGGGUGAGUAACACGUGAGUAACCUGCCCUUGACUUUGGGAUAACUUCAGGAAACUGGGGCUAAUACCGGGUAGGAGCUCCUGCUGCAUGGUGGGGGUUGGAAAGUUUCGGCGGUUGGGGAUGGACUCGCGUCUUAUCCGCUUGUUGGUGGGGUAGUGGCUUACCAAGGCUUUGACGGGUAGCCGGCCUGAGAGGGUGACCGGCCACAUUGGGACGGAGAUACGGCCCAGACUCCUACGGGAGGCAGCAGUGGGGAAGAUUGCACAAUGGGUGGAAGCCUGAUGCAGCAACGCCGUGUGCGGGAUGACGGCCUUCGGGUUGGAAACCGCUUUCGCUCAUGACGAAGCUUUGUGUGACGGUAGUGGGUAAAGAAGCACCGGCUAACUACGUG